AGAUUAUCCAAUUUACGUCUAAUCGUAUUUUUCCCGUAUACCCUCUACAUUACUUACUUGAUACUUCUUUUUCCUAGUUCUUUGCUUUGAAGUUAAUGAUUUAUAUUUCUCGAAGUGAUGUUUUCAUAGAAGCGAUGUUUUCAUUUACAAUAAAUUAUGAAAUAAAUUUAAAAUUCGCGUUUUAGGUAUUUCGGGCCUAGUUUAAUUAAGUAUUUUAAAAAUGGGCUAAGCCCUGAGCUGGAAAAGUGGCGGCAUUCAAAUGAUGGACAUGAAUCCAUCCUCGUGAGGGUGAAGAUCGUUGGGCCAAGAUUUUCCCCAAAUGUAUUUCAUGUACCUAAGUAAUUAAUUUGAGAUUUGUAAGUAUGUAACUACGUUAGUAAUACGGAAUGAAGUGUAAAGCAAUCACACUCGUCAAAAAGUUGACAAAUUUUCAAAAAUUGAUCACAUUUCCUUCAAAAUAAGCAGAUUUUAGAAUUGGGUUUUAUUUUUCCAAAAAAUUGUGAAAAAUUUACGACAAAAAUCGACAAAUUUUGUAACUUUGACGAAAUUAAAAAAAAAACUGUGUAAACGUUUUGAAGAAAGUUUAAAAAUUGACUAAAUUCGAAAAAAGUCGUCAAAUGUUGAGAUCGGCAAAUUUAUCAAUUUAAAAAUCUGAAUUUUAUAAUUUGGGAAUUAGGAAAAUUUGAUUUAUUGAAAAUGUUGAAGAAGUAAGUAUAGGUAGGCCUCUAGCUGUUUAUGUCAAUUUUGAUAGUCAUGCUGGAAAUACCGAAAUUUUGAAAAUUUCUGCUUCUACCGCUCAGCUUCGUUUGAUUUUCUUAUUGAAAAUUGAAAUUUCCAAAAAUAUCUUGAUACACAUAAGUACUUACUAUUCAAAUUUAAGAAAUAUUGAAUUUCAAGAAACUAAACUUUUUAAAUAUAAAACGUUGAUUUUUUAUUUCUCAAAAUACGAAUUCAAUUGAAAUUUCUAAAAAAAAAUCUUUUGUAAUUGAUGUUUCAACGUUUUACCGUUAACUACCUACGUAUAUUGAAGUUUGAAAAUAGGUACCUAUUCGAUGUAGGUAUGUAUUUUGUUUAUAUCACUUUUAUUACGAUGUUUUUUGCACCAUCUAUAGAAUUUUUUCGAAUACAGUAAGUAAGUACCUAAUAGGUAAGAUAUCUUUUUAGAAAUUUCAAUUUUCAAUUUAAAAAAAAAAGCAAACGAGGCCAAGCGAAAUAGAAGCAGAAGUUUUCAAAAUUCCGGUAUUUCCAGCAUGACUAUCAAAAUUGACAUAACCAGCUGCAGGCCUACUUAUACUUUACUACUUCAACAUUUUCAAUGAACUAAAUUUUCCUAAUUUCCAAAUUAUAAAAUUCAGAUUUUUAAAUUGAUACUUAAAUUUGCCGAUCUCAAAAUUUGACGACUUUUUUCAGAUUUAGUCAAUUUUUAAACAUUCUUCAAAACGUUUGCACAAUUUUUCAGAAUUUUGUCAAGGUUACAAAAUUUGUCGAUUUUGAAGGAAAUGUGAUCAAUUUUUGAAAAUUCGUCGACUUUUUGACGAGCUGAUAAUGACGAAAUGUCAUUCUAGUGACCUAGUUAUGAAAUUUAAAAUUUUAUCAAAAUUGGUUCAAACGUUCUCUUUGUGCCAAUCCAUCCCAUGCGGAUUUUUCACACACCGAAUUUUGUCUACGAUUAAACUUGAAAGCUGUAAAGUUUUGGAUUAUGGUGAUGGUCGUCGAUUGUAGAAACGAUGAAGGACUUGUGAGAUUUUAAGUUUCAUCGUCAAAAAAUCUCAAGCACCCUCCGUAACUUUGUUGCUGUGCAUGCGCUCCACGCGUUACCACAUAGGCCUGAUAGUACUCGAUGUUAGGCCGCGUUAUAUUCGUGUAACUUGAUUUUUGGGGGCCCUAAGCAAAGGUUGCAUAUUGCCUAAACAUCAAUUUUUCAGGAAAGCUUUUUUUUUUGAGUCUCAAACAUCUAUGUUUUUCGCAAAUAUCUUUUGAACAAAGCAUCCUACAGAAAAUAACCAGAUUUAAGUAGAAAGAAAAUUGUAUGCCCAACAAUUUCCUUCAGUGCAUUUUUUUCCUAGAAUGCAUACUUUUCCCAUAAAAUCGACGUUAAUGUUGGAAAAACACGAAAAUUUGGACCUGUAUAAUCAACUCUAAAUUAAAAUUAUUGAGCAGUUUGAAAAUUUGUCAUUCUUUGAUGGAACAGUGGCAGGUUUUUUUGUUCAAAAAUCACCAUGUAAUUUGCUUUGCUCGAAAAUUUAAAUUCUUAUUGAGAAGUUCACCUUUUACAAGAAAUUAAAAAACAAACUUUUAAAAAUUCAUUUUAGACGAUUUUUGACCACACCACGUGAAAGAGGAGAUCUUCAACCACCAAAAUCACCAAAAAUAAUAUAAAAAGUGAUUCUGGCAAUAAACAUUUUUUCCUCAUAUCCUCAUACAUAUUAAUUAGGCUAUGUACUCAUUUGAAAAUUGAGUCAAAAGUGAAAGUGUCCCUGCUCAAACUUUGCUAGUAGACUCCCCACACCUUGUAGAUUCAUAUGACACCUUAUAAUAAAGUCACGUCCUAAAAAGGUUGCGAUUUUGUCAAAACGUUAUGAGUUUACUGGUAUAUCAAGAAAAAGGUUACGAGAUUACUGCCUAGAAUAUCUAUUUACAUUGAUACUUGGGUAAAAAUAAAAAAUUACUUACUUUUUAAUUUUUUUGUCUGAAUGCGUCUAUGUUUUUUUUAAUCUGAAAAAACGAAUUUUUGAACAAAAAAUAAAAAAAGAAAACUAUAAAUAUUCACAUAGGUACUUAAGUAAAAAUAAAAAAUUACUUAUUUAUUUUCUGAUACAUGGCGUAGCCAAUUAUUAUUCCUACUCUAUAAUGAUUCCCAUGAUCAAUAUAAAUCUUGUCAUUAUAUCCAUUUCACCGUUGGGAAUUUCUAUAGUAUUUUCUGUAAUACAUAAAAAUGUUAUUUUUUACUGAGGGUUGCAGCUAUUAUUGUUUAAGUCAAAUGACAAUGAAUUUGUAUGAGUAUUAUUGAGCAGUUGAAAAGUCGUUUUUAGAUGAAGGAUUUAGGUACUAUCAGAUGUUUUCUAGGUGUGGAUAUCAAAUGAUAGGCUGAAGAAUGAUAUUUGUUUUAAUCGGCAAAAUUCAAUCAAGUUUUUGUUGGAAAUGUUUGAUAUGGUCAAUUGUAAAUCAGUCGCAUCCUCAAUUGAGCCUAAACUUAAUCUUACUACCCCUGUACUGAUGAUGGUAGUAUUACGUUGCAACCUUAUAGGCAGCUGUAAGGAAAGUCUGGUACCUAUAUAUAUAUUAUGAUGGGUACUUGACCUGAUUUGUGAGUUGUUAUCAGUUAUCUUAUUGUUCGUAAAGUGAGAUUACUUUGGAACGAAUCAAUACUGGAAAGAUGAAUUUAUUUUGCAGUUUACUCUAGAAAAAAAACGAAUUUUAAAAUAAAAAAUCAAUAAAUAGGUACUUACAUACUCUCUUGACAGAAUUUAAAAUUUACUCAAUAAAACAUUCAAAUUUCACUGUAAAAAGGCAAACUGUCGUGACUGGGAUAAAUAGUGAAAGAAGUAUUGCUAACAUCAGUUACCUAUUUAAAAUGUUUUACUGUUGACCACGGUAGUUUUUGACUAAUCAAUGCAGUAAAUUCUCCAUUUUUGACUGAUUAAUUCAAUAAUUCAGUAAAUAAUUUACAUUUGACUGAUAAGCAGUAAAUUAUUUACUGAAAAUCCAGUCAAAACCUGCUUUUAGGAAGCCAGUAUGUCGUCACAUUCUACUGUUGAUAAGCAGUGAAAUUUGACUUGCAAAUUCAGAGAGUAAGGGAAAUUAAAAAAUUAUUCACUUUUUAAUUUUUUGUUUCAUGGCAUACAGUAGCCAUAUUAUGGCUACUGCGCGAACAAAUAAUCCUAUUACAAAUAUAAUCCACAUGACUCUUUUUAAAAAAAAGUUCUCGUGCCUACAUUUUUAUAACACUGAGGUACUCACUGAAAAUUUCAAGCAUGUUUCAGCUACCAAGCGUCAAUCUGUAAUCAAAAGUAAAUAUUCUUAUCUAUAUCGACCUCUUGAGGAAAUUAUCUUCAAGUAGGUAGGUAAAUUUAAACCUUAAAAAUUACAACAAAAAAAAAAACAAAUUUCGCAUAUGCGAAUGACAAGGGGGUCUCACCAAUGGAAAAACAUCUGUUUGGUGGGUGAUGGUGUUACACACCAAUGCGACUGUGGUCCUGGUCUGUUAUGCUUAAUUAAUGAACGUCAAUGGCUUGGUGAGAAAAUAUCACUCUGUGAGACAUUCUUGAACGCACCCUGUACAAAUAGGUAUCCUAUCACCAUGGGUGGAAUGGACUCGUAAUAGUUACCUAUAACUAUGUCUUUAUAUUGGAGUAUCAUCGCACCACUUCAAGUACCUAUUUGUGCAGAUAAUCUAUAUUUUAUAGGUACCUCUCUACCUUGAAAUUUGCCAGAUGUGCGUAAAGAAAUGUUAGAAAUGAGUUUGAAUUCUAUGAAUAGGUACACUCCAAAAAAACAUUCAAAUCACUAAAAAUUGUAUAAAAGUGGUGAAAUUUUAUUGAAGUACUGUCAACUGCCCUAGUUUCAGACACUUUUUUGACGUUUUUCAAAAAUUGUUUCGAAGUAAGCGAUUCAAAUUUUCUAUUACAUAAAAAAAUUUGAAAAAAAAUCUGAUCUGGGUUCAAAAUUAGGAGAGUCAACCACGCUGAAAUUUUGUGAAAACUGCAAGAUUAAGUGUUGAAAACAAAUAAAAAUGAUAGGUAGGUACUAGGUAGGUAUCAAAAAUAGGUACCAAAAAAAUAUUAAAAUUAAUAUAGGUACCUACCUAACAAAACUUAUUGAUGUACCUUAAAUAUAUAAAAAACUAAAAAAUGAGAAAUAAAAAAUGAUCACAUAACUGUUAUCUAACGAGGGUUGCAGCUUUUUUUGUUCAAGUGAGCACUGAGCACGUAAGUAUUAUGCCGUAAUUUACCGACAUAAAUUACCUUACAGUCCUGCUCAGGCGCAAUAGCCAUCAUUUUUUACAAAAAUUUGGCUAAAAAUUACUUACUCCUACAUUUUAAUUUUUUUCUUUAUGGCUACUGCGCCAACAAAUCCGAUUGCAAUUAUAAUCCACAUGACUCUUUUUAAAAAAAGUUCUCGUACCAUCUACAUUUUUAUAACAAUGAGGGACUCACUGAAAAUUUCAAGCAUGUUUCAGCUACCGAGUCAAUCUGUAAUACUCUUAUCUAUAAUGACGUCAAGAGGAAAUUACUCGUAUCUUUGAGUAGGUAGGUAAAUUUAAACCUUAAAAAUUACAACAACAAAAAAACAAACAAAUUUUGCAUAUGCGAAUGACGAGGGCGCGCUCAAGAAUGUCUUGCCAAAGAAAAAGUAUCUCCCUGGUGGGUAAUGGCAUUUCACACUGGUGCGACUGUGGUCUGUGAUGCUUCAUUUAUGAACGUCAAUGGCUUGGUGAGAAAAUAUCACUCAAUGAGACAUUCUUGGACGCACCCUGUACAAAUGUACCCUAUCACCAUGAAUAGAAUGUAUUUUGUAAUAAGGAUAGAAUGUAUUUGUAAUAAUUGCCUGCUUUUGACAAAAAUAUGUAAUUUACAUUGUCUUCCUAUGUUUUUAUAGAUACGUAUACGAGUAUCAUCGCACAAGUUUAAGUACCUACCUAUUUGUGCAGAUAAGCUAUAUUUUAUAGGUACCUCUCUGCCUUGAAAUUUGCCAGAUGUGCAUAAAGAAGUGUUAGAAAUGAGUUUAAAUUCUAUGAAUACACUUCAAUAAAGCAUUCAAAUCACUCAAAAUUGUAUAAAAGUGGUAAAAUUUUACAUAUAGAUACUGUCAACUGCCCUAAUUUCAGACAUUUUUUUACGUUUUUCAAAAAUUGUUUCAAAGUAAGUAAUUCAAAUUUUCUAUUAAACAAUUUUUAAAAAAACACCAAUAAGUAUAUUUACAUUGGUACUUAAGUAAAAAUAAAAAAUUACUUACUUCUUUAUUUUUAUAUGAGCGGCGUAUGGCGCUAAAGGGGGUUAUCUGUCGCGUGCUUCUUCAUUUGUGUAAAAGCUCUACGUCUGUAAUACCAAGUACACGAUAGUAAAACUAUACGAUACGUAUGUAUACGUAUACGAAUUGCAUUCUGUACCAGCAGAUAUACGUAGUAGAAUUGCAUCAGAUCACGAUCGUCGAUCGAUAUGAUUGUAUUCAAUUAUUGAAAAAAACGUGUAAUUACAUUUUAUAAUGAAAAUAUUGACGUACUUAGGUACUUGGUAACCACGUUAUCGGCAAUGUAAUGAAACGGUCACCUGUAAUCAAAAUAUAUAAGUAGGUAUUCUCAUCUAUGAUGACGUCUUGAGUAAAUAAUAUUUUUAUCAGAGCAUUCCAGCCAAUGGUCAUUAGCUAUUAGCUAUCGGCUUGAGCUGAAUUUUUUUAUUGGCUAGAAUAAAGCUGGCUAUUGGCUAGCAAUUUUCAUUAGCUAGUGAUUGGCUGGCUAUUGGCUAGUUUCGACCAAAGUGAACUGACCCCUCAAGAUGCUCGUAAUGAAACCCACAUCAUGUUUUCAACAUCUAAAACUUGUUCCAGUAACAAUUAUGGAAGCUGUACAAAAUAAAUUAUUCCAACAAAAUGAAAAAUUGAAAAAUAUCACAUUACAGAGCUCACCGAAGCAUUUUUAUUUGUUUGGAUCAUUUUUUUUUUACUUAUCAAAAAAUGAAAAAAACAAAAAAAAAACAAAAAAAAAACAAAAAAAAAUUCAAAAAAUUUUGUUUUAGGUACUCAAAAAAAUGAAACUAGCCAAUCCAUUAGCUGGUUGAAUUUUCAUUGGCUUAAAGCUAGCUAUUGGCUGGCGACUAGUCGCAUUAGCUGGCUUCGCUAUUAGCUGAAAUAGCAUUGGCUAGCGUUGGCUAUUGGCUAUUAGCUAUUAGCUAUUGGCUAGCUGGAAUGCCCUGAUUUUUAUAAAUUUGUCUUUAUAAUCUAAAAUCACAAACUCAAAUUCUAGUAUGCACCUAUUUGUUGUGCAUAUAAGACGUAAGCUUAAAUAUGUACCUACUUCAUAGGUACAGGAUGCCUAAAAAUAUCGUGAACCCCUAAAAAAGUUUUCUGCUAAAUAUUUCGGUUGGUCACAGUGAAUGAUAAUAAUGAUAGCACAUGAUUGGUUGUUGGACUGAAGAGAUAAACAUUCCACCAAUCAUAUGCAUCUAUUUCACGUUGCCUACCUAUAUUUUUAAUGAAAAACUUUCUUUGGGGUUCACGAUAUUUCUGGGCACCCUGUAUCUCUCUGCCAUGCAGGUAGGUAUCUUUAUCUGCAGUCUUGUGUACCUAUUGAAAUGUAAAAUGUUGUUUUUCAAAUCGGGUAAAUAGCGGUUUUAAAAAAGAAAAAAUGGCACAUAAAUUACAAAUAAUAGCCUAAAUGAGUAAAUGCCGUAAUGAAUACUACUUCAAAAAUGAACAAACUUUGUUAUGAUCAUUUUUGAAUGAAAUUAUUUAUUUUACGAUGUUUUAGCAUCUGGGCUUUUUUGCAUCCACAAUACAUUUUACAUUAUAAGCAAAUAAAUGAAUCUGUCCCAGCACAUUCCAUUCCAUUAACCGAAUUAUUCUAUUAUCCGCGAUUCUAAUGAGCAGGACUUACUGUAUCUAGGUGAACUGAGUACUUUUCACCUCCUUCAUAACACAAAGCGUUUUCGUCUCCGAUGUUUAGAAUCAUCCUACGAUUUCAAAAUCCGGCUUCUCCUGCAAGAAUUAGUUAGAGCACAUCCAGAGGAGACAAGUUUUAUUUGGAGGUGAAAAGAAACUUUUUUCAUUCUUUGAAAUUACCUACUAGUGGUGAUUUUGGUUUUGACAUUGCAAACUGACAAGCAAAAAACUUUUUUUUUCAAAUUUUUUUAUAACUUUUCCAAUAAAAGUCGCACGCGACAAUUUUUAUGGAAAUGACAGUAGAGAUCUAAAUAAUAAGCUAUUUUUAGAUUCGUCAUGUCUGGGGAUUAUAACAAGCACAUAUUUCAAGUAUUUACUAUUUUCUGCUUUAAUUAGGUUUCAAUUUUGCAAUUUUUUAAAAAACACCCCUGUGCCUAAGAUUGCGAUUUUUAGUUUUUGCUAUUUUUCUAGACUAAUAAUGAUACUUUUUGAAAUUUUCAUUAAGAAUUCAAUUUAUUUGAAUGAAAUGACACCUUCUAUACGUGUAUCGAGUUUACUCCUUGUCAAAAGCUAGGGAGAAAUGGGUGUAAUGCUGGAAAUACCAGAUAUGAGCGCAUUUCCAGUGUGGUUCACUCAGAAGUUUCAAAUGCACGUUUUUGUGAGACAUUUUGUUUGCUUUCAUCAUUAAUUAAACAAUAAUGACGAAUUUCUAUGUUUUUCACUGGUGCACAAUCUUGGGAGGGCGAAUGCGCAAUCUUAGGAAGGUAUAUGCCUAAGUUUGCGCAUUUGACCUUUUUUGGUUUUUGGUCAAAAUAUCAAAAACUAAAUCGAUUAAAAAUUUUAUUUCUGGGGCAAAUCAUAGCCAAAUGUUUGAAGAACCUUCUGUACAAAUUUCAAUAUUCUAGCAUCUAGCUCCUUUUCAUAAAAAGUAGUUGCUGUUUGAAAAUUAGGUGCGCGAACUUAGACACAUUUACUCUACGAGUAUGGUCAUUUUCGCCUCUAGACAAAAAUUGGUAUUUCGACGUUUUAGAGUCCAUAGAUCACUAUUUUGAGGGUAUACAUGGAGAUACGUUUUCGCCUACGAUUUGGAGGCGAAAAAGCCGCGCUUAAAAGAUAUAGGUAUAAUUAUAUAAAAAAAAAAUUAAAAAAAUGUGAAAACCCAAAAAACGUUUCAGAAAAUUAGAACUAAACCCCAAAAUUAGAAAAUCUGAAACAAAACCAAUAUUUAUCCUGCUCUCAUAAUGUAAUAUUCAAUUUUUUCAGAUUUUAUAUGCUGCAAGUACGAAGUCCAUUUUUUUUUUUAUAUCUAUGUACUUACAUAGGUAGUUGUAGUUGUACACAUUUUAGAACACAAGAACAUUUUUAUUUUUUUGGUUUGUUUUUAAAAUCAUCUCUUUCAGUCCUCUUUCAAUUCCUUAAAACGUGUUUCCUACAAUUAUUAAAUGCUUAUAAAUUGGCCAAUUUUUCGACGGCAAUAAGUGGACAAAUUUUGCUGAAUAAUGAUUUUUAAUUCAUUUAAUUAUUUUUAAGCAGGUUUUAGGUAAUUUCAUUUCCAACUCCCGCUGAAGCUCCAAUUUUUUGAUUUGGCUUCUGAAAUAGUAGAAUUAUCUAGGUAUUGAUGGAUCAUCCAAAUGCCUGAAAUGUCGCAUCGAUGUUUUUUUGUAAUCUGAAAAAAAACAAAUUUUUGAAUAAACAAUAAAAAAAACCACCAAUACCUAAGUAUUUAUAUGUUUUUGUAUAAUAUAUAUAAUUUAUGAUGAUAAGUUUGAUGCAUAAAAGUACCCUUUUUUGUUUCGUAAUCGCAAUAUGUAAUUGUCUUAGAAAAAGUUCCUUUAAAAUUAAUGCAAAAUCAUCGAAUUAAGUAUGAAUUUAGAAGUACCUAGUUGCUAAUGUGGGUACGUGAUAUUUAAUUGAUUAAGUUUCAUGCAAGUGAUUUGUAACUUUACGAUUACACACUUCUACGACGAUGUAAGGUUAUAAUCUACGCUAGGAACGGUAUGUUUAUAACGUUCUUGAAACUGUAAGUUUUUUUCUCCCCUAAAUUGUUUGUUUAAAUGUUGCUCAAAAUUAUACAGAUUUUUACUCAUAAUUAUGAAGAAAACAUUGAUACGUAUAAGUACCUUUUAUGUACAUGUAAUUUUUAUCGGCAUGUGAAUUGUGUUGGAGAAUGGAUGAUUUGGCUGAGUCAGCUAAUUUACGCCUUUAUAGUGCCUGCAAUGCCGCUAAAUCUGAUGACAGACGUUUUCAAAACCUCCGCAUCAAGUGAUGGCAUCUAGAACUUGUUCGUUACUUACCAGUCUUUUUCAGCUCUGUGAUUGCUGUUGAUGAUGUACAUACAGUCUCGCAAAUUUGGCUGUUUUGCGCAAUUUUUCACACAGGUAUCGUUGCUUAUUUCAUCUUCAUAAUAAUUGUACCUACAUACUGAUCGCUAAUUUUUUAUGGAUCGCUUUUUAUCUACGAAUGAGACCUUCAGAGCACCGCAAUUCAAAAUUUGGUAAAUCAUUGAUAUUGAUUAUUUACCAACAGAAAUUUAUGGAUGAUUAAUUUUCAUUGUUUUAUAUCCUUCGAAGUAUGCAGAUUACAGCUUUUGAAAAAAAUGCGUCAUAUUUCAAUUAAAUCUUUAGUUUUACGUGUAGUAGGUAGUAAGUAUGUAAUGUAUUGGUAGAAAUAAAAGAAACUUUACAAUA